AAUCUGGUUUUAAGAUCUGGCUCUAAGGACCAAAUGCACGCCGGGGGUAGCGGGGGUACACUGGCGGCGCUGAUAAAUGUCGUUUGGUGGCAGCGCCGGAAACCCUCGGCGGGUUUUAUCCGGAAAUCUGUCUUUUUUUAUCUAAUAUUAAUUUUUUUUUUUUCUAAAAAAGUUGCUUUCGCGCUCUAAUUCAAAUUUGUAAAACAUAAAACAGGUGACAACAUUUCGCGGCUGCCAUACUUAUAUCGACAGUUUGGUACAAAACUCAUCGGUAAACAACUCUAUUUUAAUUGCACUCUCUAUUUCGGUACUAAGCACGCAAUUUCAAAAUUUGUAUUACUAAAUUAAAAAUGCCAAAAGAAAUGUACAUAUGUAUAAGCAAAAGUUUUGGGGUUGCUGGCUACUUCAGCCCGAUUUUAAAGAUUGGACUAAUUCAGAUAUUAACAAGGCUUAUUAAAAAUACUGCAAAUGCAGUAUUAGCUGUAAAAUUUACCAUUUAAUAGCGCACAGGACGACAAAAAACAUCAAGUUUAGUGAAACAAAGUCAAAUUCUUUUCGAGCCGGUCAAAACUUCAGAAACUUGUAGCCAAGAAGCUGUGAUAGAUGUGUUUAUAGCCCACAUUGUGCUAAGUGAAUCGGUCAAAACAUAUUUUGACGCGAAGAAGGUUAAAUUGCACAAAACCAAGUGCGCUAACCUUAUUAAAAAUGUAGUGUCUGUGCACUUUAAUGAAGAUCUGCGUCUUGACCUGGGCAACGAAAAGUUUAGUAUGAUAUAAGUAUAAACAAGCUUCUAGGUACAUAAGUAACAGUCGUUAAUAUAGCCAAAUAUAUUUAAAUUUUUGUGUUUUCAGGGGUUGCUAUAAUAUAUUACAGCGCUCUAUGCAAGAAAAUUCAAUCGUCGUUCCUUUCACUUGUUUCAAUUGAAAGUGGAGACGCACUCAACAUUACCAAGUACGUCCUGGAUGAGCUGUAUCGCCUAAAAAUUCCCGUAUCAAACUUGAUAGGAAUCGGCACUGAUAACGCCAGUGUGAUGGCGGGUAGCAAAAAAGCGUUUAUACAUUAUUAAAUACAUUAAAUACAUUAUACAUUACAAGGCUCCUUUAAAACCAGAGCCGCUGGGACAAGAUGGCUGUCUAUUGAAAACGCUGUCAAACGUACAAUAAUUCAGUUGAUGACGUGAGCGUUGACAAAAAAAUGCCACAAACCAAAUAUAUUGACUGAUUUAUACCAUGACGUCAAUAAUUUAUAUUUCCUGUUUUCGAAGCCAAUUAUUGACGACAUUUCAAGAACCAAUAAAAAUUUCCAAAGCAAGGUCGCCGACGCAGCAAAAUUAUUGGCUAUUUCAUUGUGAGCAUUAAUUUCCUCAAAUCGAAAAUAAUACCGAUCGAAGUUGAAGUUAACGAAUAACGAAGAAUUGGAUCAACAUAUAAAAAGAGAUUUGUAUUUGGGAUAUGAAUUUGAAGUGAAAUUGAUGAUGAAACAGAGGUAAUUCGGCGUACCUGUACAGAUUUUGUGAUCAAAUUGAUCAAUCAAUUAAAGCAGAGAUGUAUUUUAUAUUGCCGGACAAUUAUUCAACAUUAAAAAAAUAAACGCAUUUUCGGUAGAUCGUAUUUUGAAAUCCAAAAAGGACAAUAAUUUCACACUAUUCUAAUAUUUACCUAAUAAUUUGGAAAAAUAUUGAAAAUACUUCAAAGUUUUGGUCAGAAUUGAAGAGGUAUCGGGAUUCUGCAGGCAACAACCCCUAUGAGGACCUGGUGAAUUAUGCUCUCAGACUGCUUUCAUUGCCAUGGUCAAAUGCUGAGAUUCGGAUUGCGUCGCCAUAAAUUACGUUGUCAUUAUUAUAACUUGCCUGAAAAGUAUCUCCAAUUAAUUGGCUCCAUGGCUUCUAAUGAAGGCAGCAAUAAUGACGAAGGAAAAAUAAUCGAAGAUGCCUUAAAGCUAUUAUCUUAAUAAUAAAAAAAAAAAAUAAAAAAAA